rnacentral:rRNA from 1 species
CCUACGGGAGGCAGCAGUGGGGAAUAUUGCACAAUGGGGGAAACCCUGAUGCAGCGACGCCGCGUGAGCGAUGAAGUAUCUCGGUAUGUAAAGCUCUAUCAGCAGGGAAGAAAAUGACGGUACCUGUCUAAGAAGCCCCGUCUAACUACGUGCCAGCAGCCGCGGGAAUACGCAGGGGGCAAGCGUUAUCCGGAUUUACUGGGUGUAAAGGGAGCGUAGACGGUCCGGCAAGCCAGAUGUGAAAGCCCGGGGCUCAACCCCAGGACUGCAUUUGAAACUGUAAGGCUAGAGUGUCGGAGAGGCAGGCGGAAUUCCUAGUGUAGCGGUGAAAUGCGUAGAUAUUAGGAGGAACACCAGUGGCGAAGGCGGCCUGCUGGACGGUGACUGACGUUGAGGCUCGAAAGCGUGGGGAGCAAACAGGAUUAGAUACCCGAGUAGUC